rnacentral:rRNA from 1 species
GACGAACGCUGGCGGCGUGCUUAACACAUGCAAGUCGAACGGAGUGGCGAACGGGUGAGUAACACGUGGGUGACCUGCCCUGCACUUCGGGAUAAGCCCGGGAAACUGGGUCUAAUACCGGAUAGUGUGGGAUGGGCCCGCGGCCUAUCAGCUUGUUGGUGGGGUAAUGGCCGACCACGGCGGCGCCGGGUAGCCGGCCUGAGAGGGUGGACGGCCACAUGGGGACUGAGAAACGGCGCAGAGUCGUACUGGGGGCAGAGGUGGGGAAUAUUGCACAAUGGGCGGAAGCCGGAUGCGGCGACGCCGGGGGGGGGAUGACGGCUUUCGGGUUGUAAACUCCUUUCACCAUAGACGCGGUAGAUGGAGAAGAAGCACCGGCUAACUACGUGCCAGCAGCCGCGGUAAUAC